UACGUAGGUGGCAAGCGAUACUCGGAAUCACUAGGCGUAAAGCGCAGGUAGGCGGUUUGGUAAGUCUCUUGUGAAAGCUCCUGGCUCAACUGGGAGAGGUCAAGGGAAACUACCGGACUAGAGUGUGGUAGGGGAUACUGGAAUUCCUGGUGUAGCGGUGGAAUGCGCAGAUAUCAGGAGGAACACCGAUGGCGAAGGCAGGUCUCUGGGCCACUACUGACGCUGAGAAGCGAAAGCAUGGGGAGCGAACAGG
rnacentral:rRNA from 1 species